rnacentral:misc_RNA from 1 species
GCACCCUCAAGCCAGGCUUGGUGUUGGGCCGCGUCUCCGGACGGGUCCGAAUCGCAGUGGCGGUCCGGUCGCGACUUCAAGUGCAGUAGCUUACACACAUCGCUUGAAAGGCGCGCCGGGCCCGCCAGUCAACCCUGUCGUCUCAACCG